rnacentral:rRNA from 1 species
UACGUAGGUGGCAAGCGUUGUCCGGAAUUAUUGGGCGUAAAGGAUGCGUAGGUGGUCCUUUAAGUGGGAUGUGAAAUCCCUGGGCCUAACCCAGGAAUUGCAUUCCAAACUGGAGGACUAGAGUGCAGGAGAGGAAAGUGGAAUUCCCAGUGUAGCGGUGAAAUGCGUAGAGAUUGGGAGGAACACCAGUGGCGAAGGCGGCUUUCUGGACUGUAACUGACACUGAGGCAUGAAAGCGUGGGGAGCAAACAGGAUUAGAUACCCUGGUCGUCCACGCCGUAAACGAUGGGUACUAGGUGUAGGGGGGACCCCCCUCUGUGCCGCAGUUAACACAUUAAGUACCCCGCCUGGGGAGUACGAUCGCAAGAUUAAA